rnacentral:rRNA from 1 species
AUGGAAAAACAUCUUGUAAUGUAUUUAACCAGAAAAUCGAUUAUGCUCCUGCGGAAGUAUCUACUCGUAAUGGAAUUUCAGGUGUCAAAGUGCGGAUCUCAUAUAGUCAAAAUAAGAAGGGACGUGCUAUAUCCGAAACGUACGAAAUAUAGUAAAUAUUUUAAAUGCAGAUGUAGUAGGGGUCGCGAACCGGAUGGUACACAACUUGGUUUUGGAAGAUAUGGCACCAAAAGUUGUAGAGCUGGUCGUCUUUCAUAUCGAGCCAUUGAAGCAGCGCGUCGGGCUACAAUCGGACAAUUCCAUCGUGCUAUGAGCGGACAAUUCCGAAGAAAUUGUAAGAUAUGGGUAAGAGUUCUCGCAGAUCUUCCUAUUACGGGGAAACCCGCAGAAGUUCGAAUGGGAAGAGGAAAAGGAAAUCCGACGGGUUGGAUUGCUCGUGUGUCCAUGGGACAAAUCCCAUUUGAAAUGGAUGGUGUGAGUUUGUCAAAUGCUCGACAAGCCGCUAGAUUAGCGGCGCAUAAACCAUGUUCGUCAACCAAGUUUGUUCAGUGGUCGUAA